CGGUCGUCGUACCGGUAACCCUAAAUUUUCACCGGGAGCCGUAGAGUUUUAUCUUGGUCCUCUGAUUUAGCGGCGGACGGGUGAGUAACACGUGGGCAACCUGCCCUGCAGACUGGGAUAACUUCGGGAAACCGGAGCUAAUACCGGAUAAUCCAUUUUACUUCAUGGUGAGAUGUUGAAAGGCGCUUUCGCGCCACUGCAGGAUGGGCCCGCGGUGCAUUAGCUAGUUGGUGGGGUAACGGCCUACCAAGGCGACGAUGCAUAGCCGACCUGAGAGGGUGAUCGGCCACAUUGGGACUGAACACGGCCCAAACUCCUACGGGAGGCAGCAGUAGGGAAUCUUCCACAAUGGACGAAAGUCUGAUGGAGCGACGCCCCGUGACUGAUGAAGGUUUUCGGAUCGAAAACUCUGUUGUAAGGGAAGAACAAGUACGUUAGGAAAUGAAUACCUUGACGGACCUUAUUAAAAGCCCCGGCUAACUACUGCC
rnacentral:rRNA from 1 species